rnacentral:rRNA from 1 species
CGCGGCCUAUCAGCUUGUUGGUGGGGUGAUGGCCUACCAAGGCGACGACGGGUAGCCGGCCUGAGAGGGCGACCGGCCACACUGGGACUGAGACACGGCCCAGACUCCUACGGGAGGCAGCAGUGGGGGAUAUUGCACAAUGGGCGCAAGCCUGAUGCAGCGACGCCGCGUGAGGGAUGACGGCCUUCGGGUUGUAAACCUCUUACGCCAGGGACGAAGCCUUUUGGGGUGACGGUACCUGGAGAAGAAGCACCGGCUAACUACGUGCCAGCAGCCGCGGUAAUACGUAGGGUGCGAGCGUUGUCCGGAAUUAUUGGGCGUAAAGAGCUCGUAGGCGGUUUGUCGCGUCGGCCGUGGAAACUGGAGGCUUAACCUUCAGCGUGCGGUCGAUACGGGCAGACUUGAGUUCGGUAGGGGAGUCUGGAAUUCCUGGUGUAGCGGUGAAAUGCGCAGAUAUCAGGAGGAACACCGGUGGCGAAGGCGGGACUCUGGGCCGAUACUGACGCUGAGGAGCGAAAGCGUGGGGAGCGAACAGGAUUAGAUACCCUGGUAGUCCACGCUGUAAACGUUGGGCGCUAGGUGUGGGUGACAUUCCACGUUGUCCGUGCCGUAGCUAACGCAUUAAGUGCCCCGCCUGGGGAGUACGG